rnacentral:lncRNA from 1 species
CCCAACUACCCUUGAAAGAAGGCUAUCCUUGGUUAGUCCCUCAUCAACAACAUUUUGUUCUAAUAUGUAUUAUCUUUUUAUAAUACUUACCUUACAGUAAGAUUUCCAGAAUUGCCAGAAAUGCAAAUAUUUGUUGCAUGUUUACUUGUUCUGCUAAUCUCAUUCUUGUCAGUACCAGGGGGCUUGUAUCGUGGCAUCUGUUAAUAUGGCUACGAAUAUGCUUUGCAGUUUCUCUGCCUGGAAUACAAUUUUGGUUUUCAACUAACAAACGCUUUCUCAUUUUUCAAGAUUCAUCCCAGAUAUGGCCUCUACUUAGAAUUCUCUGAUUUUCAGUAAUUUGAAAAUCAAAGAGCAGUAAAAAUUUCCAUUCUCAAAACAUUUACAAAACAUUUGUAAAUGCCAAAAAAGAAAAGAAGAAAACUUCAGGAUGCAAAAAAAAAAUGCACUUAUAGUAUAUGGGGUCCACAAAGCACAUCACAACUACUGCCCUUCUACAGAGACAUAGACGUUCAUAGUGUAGAAAUCUCCUUUGCUUUGUACCUGUUUUGCUGCCUGCUGAUAGUCUCACUAAUCUUUAAAUGCGUGAUAUGAGCANNNNNNNNNNUUUCUUUCUUUCUUUUUUUUUUUUCCUGGAGAGUCAGCUGUUAAAUAUUUUUCUGGCAUACCAUUGGCCUUAACCAGAUAUCUGCCUAGAAAAUUAUUAGGUCUGUAUAUGUAAACAAUGUUUACAUCAAAUAAUUGGAAGUUUCGUACUGAAAUGUGCUUAUUAGACAUGUUAGUAAUUCAAUCCGCCCGAGGGGAAGAGGAGUUUUAAAGGACUCAGGAUGGAAGUCAAGCCUGAUGAAAUCAGUGACAAG